AGAGUUUGAUCCUGGCUCAGGAUGAACGCUAGCUACAGGCUUAACACAUGCAAGUCGAGGGGCAUCAGGAAGAAAGCUUGCUUUCUUUGCUGGCGACCGGCGCACGGGUGAGUAACACGUAUCCAACCUGCCCUUUACUCGGGGAUAGCCUUUCGAAAGAAAGAUUAAUACCCGAUAGUAUAAUGAUUCCGCAUGGUUUCAUUAUUAAAGGAUUCCGGUAAAGGAUGGGGAUGCGUUCCAUUAGGUUGUUGGUGAGGUAACGGCUCACCAAGCCUUCGAUGGAUAGGGGUUCUGAGAGGAAGGUCCCCCACAUUGGAACUGAGACACGGUCCAAACUCCUACGGGAGGCAGCAGUGAGGAAUAUUGGUCAAUGGGCGCUAGCCUGAACCAGCCAAGUAGCGUGAAGGAUGAAGGCUCUAUGGGUCGUAAACUUCUUUUAUAUAAGAAUAAAGUGCAGUAUGUAUACUGUUUUGUAUGUAUUAUAUGAAUAAGGAUCGGCUAACUCCGUGCCAGCAGCCGCGGUAAUACGGAGGAUCCGAGCGUUAUCCGGAUUUAUUGGGUUUAAAGGGAGCGUAGGUGGACUGGUAAGUCAGUUGUGAAAGUUUGCGGCUCAACCGUAAAAUUGCAGUUGAUACUGUCAGUCUUGAGUACAGUAGAGGUGGGCGGAAUUCGUGGUGUAGCGGUGAAAUGCUUAGAUAUCACGAAGAACUCCGAUUGCGAAGGCAGCUCACUGGACUGCAACUGACACUGAUGCUCGAAAGUGUGGGUAUCAAACAGGAUUAGAUACCCUGGUAGUCCACACAGUAAACGAUGAAUACUCGCUGUUUGCGAUAUACAGUAAGCGGCCAAGCGAAAGCAUUAAGUAUUCCACCUGGGGAGUACGCCGGCAACGGUGAAACUCAAAGGAAUUGACGGGGGCCCGCACAAGCGGAGGAACAUGUGGUUUAAUUCGAUGAUACGCGAGGAACCUUACCCGGGCUUAAAUUGCAGUGGAAUGAUGUGGAAACAUGUCAGUGAGCAAUCACCGCUGUGAAGGUGCUGCAUGGUUGUCGUCAGCUCGUGCCGUGAGGUGUCGGCUUAAGUGCCAUAACGAGCGCAACCCUUAUCUUUAGUUACUAACAGGUUAUGCUGAGGACUCUAGAGAGACUGCCGUCGUAAGAUGUGAGGAAGGUGGGGAUGACGUCAAAUCAGCACGGCCCUUACGUCCGGGGCUACACACGUGUUACAAUGGGGGGUACAGAAGGCAGCUAGCGGGUGACCGUAUGCUAAUCCCAAAAGCCUCUCUCAGUUCGGAUCGAAGUCUGCAACCCGACUUCGUGAAGCUGGAUUCGCUAGUAAUCGCGCAUCAGCCACGGCGCGGUGAAUACGUUCCCGGGCCUUGUACACACCGCCCGUCAAGCCAUGGGAGCCGGGGGUACCUGAAGUACGUAACCGCAAGGAUCGUCCUAGGGUAAAACUGGUGACUGGGGCUAAGUCGUAACAAGGUAGCCGUACCGGAAGGUGCGGCUGGAACACCU
rnacentral:rRNA from 1 species